UAGAGGAGCCAUUUGACNNNUCUACAAAAUUUGUUAGAUGGUGUCACAGAAUCGGAGGCCACGACUGUUUAAUUAAAACACAGACAUCUGCUACGAUUAAUUUAUUUGUAUAGGUGUUGAAUUUUGCCCCAUGCCAUCAACAUAAGGUCUGCGAGUUCAAAUAUGCGGAUUGAAAGUCUGGUUAAUGGCGGUCUUAACUAUAAGGAUCCUAAGGUAGCGAAAUUUAUUGUCCGUUAAAUGCGGUCCCGCAUGAAUAAAGUAACGAUGGUCUCACUGUCUCUACAAGCAUCUCAGUGAAAUUGAACUAGCCGUGCAGAUGCGGCUUACCUCCGGGUGGACGGGAAGACCCUAUGCAGCUUCUACUG
rnacentral:rRNA from 1 species